GGUGGUUCUCAGGUGACACACCCCAGAAUCGGGCUCCCUACUCUCUGGUUCCGGGUGUGUCACCCAAGAACUGCA
rfam:Myotis brandtii contig311783, whole genome shotgun sequence.